GAUGAACGCUAGCGGCAGGCUUAAUACAUGCAAGUCGAGGGACAGCACAGGUAGCAAUACUGGGUGGUAACCGGCAAACGGGUGCGGAACACGUACACAACCUUCCUUUAAGUGGGGGAUAGCCCAGAGAAAUUUGGAUUAAUACCCCGUAAUAUAGUUGAAUGGCAUCAUUUGAUUAUUAUAGCUACGGCGCUUAAUGAUGGGUGUGCGGCUGAUUAGAUAGUUGGCGGGGUAACGGCCCACCAAGUCUACGAUCAGUAGCUGAUGUGAGAGCAUGAUCAGCCACACGGGCACUGAGACACGGGCCCGACUCCUACGGGAGGCAGCAGUAAGGAAUAUUGGUCAAUGGACGCAAGUCUGAACCAGCCAUGCCGCGUGAAGGAUUAAGGUCCUCUGGAUUGUAAACUUCUUUUAUUUGGGACGAAAAAGGGUCUUUCUAGGUCAACUGACGGUACCAGAUGAAUAAGCACCGGCUAACUCCGUGCCAGCCGCCGCCGUAA
rnacentral:rRNA from 1 species